GGUUUCAGGCGGACGCUCUUCCAAAGAAGGAGGGCUCCUCUCAUGGUCCCGUGACAACAGAGGGUCCGGUCCACUACAUCACAUGGGGCUCUGGUGUUUUCUCGAUGUUGAUUUCAUUUAUCAUCCUUAUUGCAGCUUCGGUUUGAAUCAUAGUAAGGAAGGGGUGAGACGGAGGUGAUUUCUCUCUGCUGUUUUGGGGACCCAGAAGAAAGAACCCAAAUCCCACAUCCCUCCCAACGUUUGC